GUAACGCUACGGCAGGCUCAUCAUGCUUACGAGGGGCAGCAGGACACUUCGGUGUUUCAUGGCGACCGGCGCACGGGUGCGUAACACGUAUGUAAUCUGCCUUGUACUGGGGAAUAGCCCCUGGAAACGGGGAUUAAUACCCCAUAUUGUCUUAUCAGCGCACGCUGGCAAGAUGAAAGCUCCGGCGGUACAAGAUGAGCAUGCGUCCCAUUAGCUUGUUGGUGAGGUAAUAGCUCACCAAGGCUGCGAUGGGUAGGGGUUCUAAGAGGAAGAUCCCCCACACUGGCACUGAGAUACGGGCCAGACUCCUACGGGAGGCAGCAGUAGGGAAUAUUGGUCAAUGGGCGCAAGCCUGAACCAGCACAUGCCGCGUGCAGGAUGAAGGCCCUCAGGGUUGUAAACUGCUUUUGUAUGGGAAUAAAAAGCCCUUGUGAGGGCUAUUGAAGGUACCAUAACGAAUAAGCACCGGCUAACUCCGUGCCAGCAGCCGCGGUAAUACAGGAGGGUGCAAGCGUUAUCCAGGAUUUACUGGGUUUAAAGGGUGCGUAGCGGCUUUUUAAGUCAGUGGUGCACAACGCCUUAGACGCUCAACAGCUAGACAAGGCCAUUGAUACUGGAGAGCUUUGAGGUCCAACGACAGAGGUACACGCCGGAAAUUCAUGGUGUAGCAGUGAAAUGCUUUAGAUACCACUGAAAGAAUACCCAUAGCGAACGGCAAGCUCACUGGUUCUUGAAACUGAACGCUAGAGGCACCAAAGCGUUGGGGACGCCAAACACGGAUUA
rnacentral:rRNA from 1 species